GACAGAGGGGGCAAGCGUUGCUCGGAAUUACUGGGCGUAAAGGGCGCGUAGGCGGGAUGGCAAGUCGGUCGUGAAAUCCUUCGGCUCAACCGAAGAACGUCGAUCGAUACUGCUGUUCUUGAGGGUUGCAGAGGAGAGUGGAAUUCCUGGUGUAGCGGUGAAAUGCGUAGAUAUCAGGAGGAACACCGGUGGCGAAGGCGGCUCUCUGGACGGUGACUGACGCUGAGACGCGAAAGCGUGGGGAGCAAACGGG
rnacentral:rRNA from 1 species